UACGUAGGGGGCAAGCGUUGUCCGGAAUCAUUGGGCGUAAAGCGCGUGUAGGCGGCCAGAAAAGUCCGCUGUGAAAGUCGGGGGCUCAACCCUCGAAUGCCGGUGGAUACUGUCGGGCUAGAGUGCGGAAGAGGCGAGUGGAAUUCCUGGUGUAGCGGUGAAAUGCGCAGAUAUCAGGAGGAACACCGGUGGCGAAGGCGGGUCUCUGGGCCGAUACUGACGCUGGAGGAGCGAAAGCGUGGGGAGCGAACAGG
rnacentral:rRNA from 1 species